UACGUAGGGCGCAAGCGUUUAUCCGGAAUUAUUGGGCGUAAAGAGCUCGUAGGCGGUUUGUCGCGUCUGCCGGUGAAAGUCCGGGGCUCAACUCCGGAUCUGCGGGUGGGUACGGGCAGACUAGAGUGAUGUAGGGGAGACUGGAAUUCCUGGUGUAGCGGUGAAAUGCGCAGAUAUCAGGAGGAACACCGAUGGCGAAGGCAGGUCUCUGGGCAUUAACUGACGCUGGAGGAGCGAAAGCAUGGGGAGCGAACAGG
rnacentral:rRNA from 1 species